UUUCGCUAGAUAAAAACGCGUGGCGAUAGCAAGGUGUUAUCGCCGAUAGUGGUCUCACACGUGCUGUUUCCCUCUCUACUGCGAGGGAACCUGAAGCUUUUAUAAGCCGCAGCGGUACCAGCACUGUAAGAAGAGCUGUCCUGACGACGGUGCGUGCAGUAUCUAGGCGGCGAGCGUCGGAAGAGUUCCUCUGGGAAAUUACGACAGUGGGCUACUGCAGAGAAAUUCCAGCUCUCUCGAAAGCGCCAUGGACACGCCUGCAACACAAGAUGACGUCACUGCGUACGCUAUCCCAACAGCUCUGCCGUCCUCGGACACCCCGCUACGCCUGAUUUAACGGUACCGACGCUUUCCCAUCCACAGCGACCCCAGCAGGUCAGAAGGCUACACUUGGAUUUGGACACUUCGCAAACGACCGUCUCGACGGACAGUAAUACUGUCCGCGGCUCCUGGCUGACUGUCCUUCCAAUGGCAUCUUUCACUCGCCGGAUGUUUGAAAAAGUGCGUGUGGAUAGAGCGCGAUGCGAUGGAACUUCCCAUGCAUUAUCUCAAAAUAAAGUUGUUUUUGUUGCUAUGUGUGCGUAAAAGAAAUGCGCCUUGACGAGUUGCGGGCACAUUAUGACUCACUGGUGACGACAGGGAACAGCGGUGUAUGCAAAUAAACAUGCCGUUACCCUGUG